rnacentral:rRNA from 1 species
UGGCUCAGAACGAACGCUGGCGGCGUGCCUAACACAUGCAAGUCGAGCGCGAAUGGGGAAACCCUAGUAGAGCGGCGCACGGGUGCGUAACACGUGGGUAAUCUGCCUGGGAGUCCGGGAUAACCAGCCGAAAGGUUGGCUAAUACCGGAUAAGCCCACGGGGACUUCGGUCCCUGAGGGAAAAGGUGGCCUCUGUAUACAAGCUAUCACUUCCAGAUGAGCCCGCGGCCCAUCAGCUAGUUGGCGGGGUAAUGGCCCACCAAGGCAACGACGGGUAGCUGGUCUGAGAGGACGAUCAGCCACACUGGAACUGAGACACGGUCCAGACUCCUACGGGAGGCAGCAGUGGGGAAUUUUGCGCAAUGGGCGAAAGCCUGACGCAGCAACGCCGCGUGUGUGAUGAAGGUCUUCGGAUUGUAAAGCACUUUCGACCGGGACGAAACCGCAGGAGCUAACAUCUCCUGUCUUGACGGUACCGGGAGAAGAAGCACCGGCUAACUCUGUGCCAGCAGCCGCGGUAA